AUCCCUGCAAGUAAAUAGAUAAUAUUUAAUAAGUACAAAUCUUUAGGACUACAGUAUAAUAGUUUAUUGCACUGCAAAUUGUAUAAACUACAAGUCUUUAAAGAUGAUUCAUACAUAAAAGAUGUUUUUUUUUAAUUGGUGAGACAUGCAGAAGUUAUGAAAAAACUAAUCAAAAUGAUGACAAAACGAAGAAAACAUUUAAAAGUGCACAUGUAUUUAAUUAUAUUUUUGAAAUUUGUACAAUCAGUUAUACCAACUAUAGAAUAUGAUUAUACACAGAAUAUUAAUUUAUAGUAAUAA